GUAAGAGGUGUUAUUAGUUCAACC
rnacentral:siRNA from 1 species